GUGACUGGAGUUCAGACGUGUGCUCUUCCGAUCUCGUAAAGUGUGCGUAGGCGUUCUUCAAAGUCGUUUCUUAAAGACUGGGGCUUAACCUCGGGAUUGGAUACGAUACUCGGAGAAUUGAGGAUUGACAGGGAAGCUGGAACAGUAUGUGUAGCAGUGAAAUGCGUUGAUAUAUACUGGAACACCGAUGGCGAAGGCAGGCUUCUGGGUUUUUCCUGACGCUGAGGCACGAAAGCUAGGGUAGCGAAACAGAUUAGAGACCUGUGUAGUCCUAGCCGUAAACGAUGGAUGCUAGCUAGUGUGCAAGCACUGGCGUAAGCUAACGCGUUAAGCAUCCCGCCUGGGGAGUACGACCGCAAGGUUAAAACUCAAAGGAAUUGACGGGGACCCGCACAACCAGUGGAGCGUGUGGUUUAAUUCGAGACGAAGCGAAAAACCUCACCAAGGCUUGACAUGCUAGAGUUCUAGCCUCCCCAAAAGGAGGCAAUCCGUAAGGAGACUAGCACAGGUGCUGCAUGGCUGUCGUCAGCUCGUGCCGUGAGGUGUUCCCUUAAGUGGGGAAACGAGUGCAACCCUUGUCUAAUGUUAAAUAUUCAUUAGAGACUGCCUCUAUUUUUAGAGGAGGAAGGAAAGGCGGACGUCAAGUCAGCAUGGCCCUUAUGCCUUGGGCUACACACACCCUACAAUGGCGAAUAACAAUGGGUUGCGAGCUCGCAAGAGCAAGCUAAUCUCAGAAAUUUCGCCUCAGUUCAGAUUGGGGUCUGCAACUCGACCCCAUGAAGUUGGAAUUGGU
rnacentral:rRNA from 1 species